rnacentral:hammerhead_ribozyme from 1 species
ACCCAGCUGACGAGCCCUAAAUAGGACGAAACGCGCGUUCUGGAU